GGGAGGCUGAGGCAGGAAGAUCUCAAGUUGGAGGCCAGCCUCAGCAACUUACAAAGGCCCUAAUGAGACCCUAAGCAAUUCAGCCAUACCCUGUCUCUAAUAAAAUAUGAAAAAUGGGCUGGGGCUGGGGCUUAGUGGUUAAGCCCCCCUGGGUUCAAUUGCUGGUACAAAAAAAAAAAAAAUCACAAAGACAACACCUCCUCAGGGCAGAGAGUUUGGCUAAUAGCUGGUGUCCUCCCUGGAAGCAGGGAUUUUGUGUCCCCAGCUCCCAGCUCAGUGCCUGGCCUCGCAGGGAAACUGAUAUGGAUAGAACAGAGGCUACUAACCAAGGCUCUGGGUCCCUACUCAUUUAGCAUCUUGGCACCAAGGAAACGGACUCCAGAUGAAUUUGAGCUUAAUUCACAGACAGUUGAGACCCUUUCAAGAUGAAAAACUCUAAGGAAGAAUGCCGUAGCAGAUUCCAUUUUCCAAGAUGGCUGCAAGACCUGUACCACAUGCCUUUCUUACAAUCUGAUAUUACUCUUCCCAAGAGCUGGGGAACAUAGUCCCUCCCCUUGAAUGGGGACAGACUUGUAACAAGAAUAGAAGUGUCUCUGUGUGACUCCCUUACUCUUAGAAAUCAGUCACCAUGUGGCGGGGAAGCCCAGCCUACCCGGAGAAGCCACAUGGAGAUGCUCCCACUGAGGUUCCAGCCAACAGCCAGCCUCAGUGGCCAGUGGCUUGAAGGAAGAAGAGAAGAUUUUAGAACAAUCCAGCCCCAGACGUUGUCUGGGAUAGAAGGCGAGAGACAGGAGAGAGAACCUUCUACCUCAGGGCAGUUGACCCUCCAGAACAGCAAGAGAUACUAAUAACACGGUAGUUGUUUUCCUAGCUGUGGGUCAUCAGAGCCCAGGCCAAAAAACGACGCUGUGGACAUGCAGCCUCCUCCCCUAGCACAUGAAAGCCUCUCUUCCCCGGACCUGUUUGAAGACUCCUAAC
rnacentral:lncRNA from 1 species